AUGACGAUGGUCCUGGAUGCAUUUGCAUCCUACUUGCAAAACGUGCUCACAGAGAUGGUGAGUGAAGAGGUGCACAUGCUGCUUGGAGUCACAACCGAGAUCAAGAAGAUGGACGUCAAGCUUAAGGACCUCAAGUACUUCCUCGCCGACGCUGACAGGAGAAACAUCACUGACGAGAGCGUGCAAGAGUGGGUGGCCCAGCUCAAGCGGGCCAUGUAUGAAGCUACAGACAUCCUUGACCUCUGUCAGCUCAAGGCCAUGGAGCACGGUCCAUCCACUGCAGAUGUGGGAUGCUUCAACCCCUUGCUGUUCUGCAUGCGGAAUCCCUCCCAUGCCCACGACAUUGGCACCCGCAUCAAGGUGCUCAACCAGAACCUCGACGACAUCAAGGAGCGAAGCGCUGCUUUCAGCUUCAUACAUCUUGGUUCCUCUGAGGAUCAUAACAGUAAGGUGCAAGCGUCUCAUUCUUGCAAUAAGAGACGUGACACAUCAGGGGUGUUUGACCGGUCAGCUGUAGUGGGAGAGAAGAUUGAAGAAGACACAAGAAAGAUGGUUGAGAUCAUGCUGAGUGAAAAGAAGGGCAACACCAACAUCAUCGUGGUCGCCGUUGUUGGUGUCGGUGGAAUCGGCAAGACCACUCUUGCCCACAACGUCUUCAAUGACGAAGCCUUGAACAACAAGUUUGAGAAAACGAUAUGGUUGAGCAUCAACAAGGACUUCGACGAGGUUGAGUUGCUCAGGACAAUUAUCACGCAAGCGGGGGGAGAACAUGGUGGUAAUAAGGCGUUGGCUGUGCUUCAGCCAAUCCUUAUCACUACCUUGAAAGGGAAGAAGCUAUUCCUGGUGCUGGAUGAUGUGUGGAACCAUGGGGCAUGGGAUGAUGUGCUUAAAACACCCUUGACUAAUGUUCUCGCUCCAGGUAGCCGAGUCCUCGUCACUACUAGAGAUGAAACAGUAGCUCGAAGGAUGAAAGCCGUGCUUCCCUACCACCAUGUGGACAAAUUAGGGGAGGAGGAUGCCUGGUCAUUGCUCAAGAAACAGAUAAUCUUAAGUGAAACCGAUGAACGUGAAAUUGAUAUGCUCAAGGAUAUUGGAGUGCAGAUUAUAGCAAAAUGUGAUGGUCUGCCUCUUGCUGUCAAAAUAAUGGGAGGGCUCUUGUGUCAGAAGGACAAAAAACACCGUGAGUGGGAGAUGGUUCUGGAUGAUUCUAUAUGGUCAAUAUCUGGACUGCCUGAAGAGCUAAACCAUGCAGUAUAUUUAAGCUAUGAAGAUUUAUCUUCUUGUGCCAAACAAUGCUUUCUGCAUUACUCCCUUCUACCUAAAACUGCAGUGUUUUAUAGAGAUGAAAUCAUUGGCAUGUGGGUUAGUGAAGGAUUUUUUCACGGGACCUCGGAUGACUUAGAAGAACUAGGAAGCAAGUACUAUAAGGAGCUGAUACUAAGGAAUCUUAUUGAGCCAGAUACAGAGUAUAUUGAUCAAUGUGUUUGCAACAUGCAUGAUGUUGUACGCUCAUUUGCUCAGUUUGUGGCUAGAGAUGAGGCACUAGCAGCUCACAGUGGAGAAACUAAUAUUGUUAGUAAACUUAGUGUACAUGAGUUUCUUCGGAUAUCUCUAGAAAGCAAAGGAUCAGAAUCAGAUGGGUUAAACUGGAGUUCCUUGCAAGCACAAAAGACACUAAGGGUACUAAUAUCAGUUGGCUUUGUAAAUAUCAAGCCUGGUGAUUCCUUGGUUCAUUUUCCAUGUCUACGAACUUUAUAUAUAUAUUCUGCACAUGUUGUAGCUUUGCUUGAAUCUAUGCAUGAACUCAAGCACCUGAGGUACUUGUCCUUGGAAAACACUGAUAUAUCUAGUUUGCCAGAUAGCAUUGGAAAGAUGAAACUGUUGCAGUACAUAAGUCUUAGUGGAUGCCAACAGAUUGUUAAACUCCCACCUAGCAUUGUAAAGUUAGGGCAGCUAAGGUACCUUAACUUCAUUGGAACAAGUAUAAAAGGCAUACCCAGGGGGUUUUGUGCUCUAACAAACUUGAGGAUAGUACUUGACUUUCCAGCCCAAGUGGAUGGUGAUUGGUGCAGUUUGGAAGAGUUGGGUCCUCUUUCUCGGCUCAAGAAACUUCAAUUGGACAGAUUGGAGAAUAUAACUGCUUCCUCAUCUGCAGCAAAGGCAAAGCUUAGCGACAAGGUGCAUCUUACCAACCUAGUGUUAAGUUGUGCCAGUAUAUUGGGAGAUGAUAGGCUGAUUAAAGAGGAAGAUGGUGUCUGUGAGGAAGAGCAACAACAAGUCGAGAAGGUGUUUGAUGAGCUCUGCCCUCCGCCCAGGUUAGAAUAUCUUGACAUCAGAGGAUAUUUCGGCCGAUGGCUCCCAAGGUGGAUGAUGUCUUCAUCAGUUGUGCCACUCAAGAGCUUGAGGAUUAUGUUCAUUUGCGACCUGGCUUGCUGCACACAGCUUCCUGAUGGCUUGUGCCAACUCCCUUAUUUGGAGUUCAUUCAGAUCAAGCGUGCUCCAGCCAUCAAGCGUGUUGGACCUGAAUUCAUGCAGUCCUACCAUCAGCACAGUCCUCAUCCUUCCCAGAUGGUGGCAGCAUUUCCGAGAUUGCAUAAGAUGGAGUUAAUAGGAAUGGUGGAAUGGGAGGAGUGGGAGUGGGAGGAGCAAGUGCAAGCCUUUCCUGUCUUGCAGCAACUUUUGCUAAAGCAUUGCAAAUUGAAGUGUCUUCCUCCUGGACUUGCCUCCCAGGCAAGGGCUUUGAAUAAAUUAUCCAUAUACUAUGUCCACAGUCUCAUCUCCCUAGAGAACUUUCCGUCUCUGGUUGAGCUGUAUCUGGGUGACAACCUUGACCUGGAGAUGAUCACUAAUCUUCCAAGACUGCAGAAGCUUACCACCGAAAACUGCCCAAAGCUGAAGGUGUUGGAGGGUGUUCCUGCACUCCAGAGGCUCGUUCUCUCGUAUAAUGACAUGGAAACAAUCCCAGAAUACAUGGGAGGUAUAAACCCAAGGCAUUUGGAGCUAUACUGCAGCCUAGCACUGCUCGCUUCAAUGGCCGCGGGACAAUCUGGCCAUGUGUGGGAAAAGUUCAGCCAUGUUGAGCAUGUCAAGGCAUAUGCACGCGAAGGAGAUAAUUCACGGAAAUGGUAUGUCUUCUACACAGCUAAACCCUACAGCUUGGAGACAAACGUCAGCCACUUUUUCAUGUCCAGAGGAACCUUGACUUCUUUUGAGGGCGCACAGAGAUUUGAGUCUUUCUUCAAAAUGACGAGAAAAACCUUUAGCUACAUCUGUAGCUUAGUGAUGGGGCCAUCAAUGGAAGAUAUGAACAGCUACACCUUUGUUGAUGGGAGGGUGCUGUCUUUACAAGAUCGGGUAGCUGUUGCUCUUAGAAGGUUGCAGUCCAGUGAGCCAACAGAGAGCAUAGCAUCCUCUGUAGGUGUGAACGAGUCAAUCAUCUUGUUGGUAACUGAGAGGUUCGUUGAUACUGUGUGUGAGCGGGCAGACCACCACACAGGCUGGCCAGACUGCAGUGAGAAGGAUGAAAUCAAAUCCAAGUUUGACAAGAUCCACAAUAUGCAUAACUGUUGCGGGGUUAUAUGUACAACUCACAUCCCAUUUGGACCAAACUGCAACCAUGAGAAGAAUGACAUCGCUGUAAUCCAAUUCAUUGUUGAUGCAACGAAGAGGUUUAGAAACAUUUGGUUGGGACCAGCAGGUAGCAUGAACAAGUCGAGCCUUUUGAAGGACUCUGAAAUCUUCAAGGAGUGUGCGAAGGGCGGUUGGCUGAAUGGCAACAAGCUGAAAGUGGCAUUAGAUGGAUCAGAAGUCGGGGAAUACAUAAUUGGUGAUGCAGGAUACCCUCUUCUUCCAUGGCUACUCACACCUUACCAGGAAGAAGAACUCUCAGAUUCCAAGGCAGAGUUCAAUAGGAGACAUUCUGCAGCCACAACCAGUGCUCUGAAGGUGCUGACAAGACUCAAAGACACAUGGCAGUACCUGCAGGGAGAAAUGUUGUGCCCAUUCAAUCCAUACAGUCUAGAUAAGGUGAUCUAUGCUUGCUGCAUGUUGCAUAACAUAGUCAUAGAAAUGGAGGAUGAUGCAGCCAUGCUGAGCACCAAGCGGAGGAAUUACUCCAAGGAAGUGCGCCAGAUAGCAAAGGAGGACGUUGUCAGGGCGAGGGAUAUGCUGUCGCAACACUUCUUGGAUAGCGGGUCGUCCAAACUGGGAGAGGAGGAGGAUGAAGCAGCUUCAUUAACUAGGUACCACUGCUAG
rnacentral:rRNA from 1 species